UUUAAAGUUUUUUCUAGUUUUGAAAAUUUAUUUUAAAUUUAUUAUAUAUAUAAAUUUUAGUAUGAAAAUUUAUUUUAUUUAAAAAAUUUUUUAAUUAAUAUUUAUUUAUAGUAUAUAACAUUAAAAAUUUAAG
rnacentral:rRNA from 1 species